rnacentral:rRNA from 1 species
CCUACGGGGGGCUGCAGUGGGGAAUUUUGGACAAUGGGCGAAAGCCUGAUCCAGCAAUGCCGCGUGAGUGAAGAAGGCCUUCGGGUUGUAAAGCUCUUUUGUUUGGGAAGAAAUCCCUAAGGAUAAUACCCUUGGGGGAUGACGGUACCAAAAGAAUAAGCACCGGCUAACUACGUGCCAGCAGCCGCGGUAAUACGUAGGGUGCAAGCGUUAAUCGAAAUGACCGGGGGCGGAUCGGUAAGAGGCGGGUGAAAUCCCCGGGCUCAACGUGGGAACUGCACUUGUGACUGCAAGACUAGAGUGUGUCAGAGGGAGGUAGAAUUCCACGUGUAGCAGUGAAAUGCGUAGAUAUGUGGAGGAAUACCAGUGGCGAAGGCGGCCUCCUGGGAUAACACUGACGCUCAUGUACGAAAGCGUGGGGAGCAAACAGGAUUAGAUACCCGAGUAGUC